UACGUAGGGUGCGAACGUUAUUCGGAAUCACUGGGCUUAAAGGGCUCGUAGGCGGCCAACUAAGUCAGACGUGAAAUCCCUCGGCUUAACCGGGGAACUGCGUCUGAUACUGGAUGGCUUGAGUUUGGGAGAGGGAUGCGGAAUUCCAGGUGUAGCGGUGAAAUGCGUAGAUAUCUGGAGGAACACCGGUGGCGAAGGCGGCAUCCUGGACCAACACUGACGCUGAGUGAGCGAAAGCCAGGGGAGCAAACGGG
rnacentral:rRNA from 1 species